rnacentral:misc_RNA from 1 species
AAUUAUUCUCUCUACACAUAAAAAUUUAUUUUCUCUGUAGAGAGUAGAAGGAUUCAAUUUACACAUGACUUAAGAGAGGAAAAACAAGUGAUAACUAAGCAUUACGCUAGAACUGUCUAGUCAACGUCUAAAUGAAAAACUGGUAAUUGAAUAUUAGAGUGAUUUUAUUGUGUAAAAUUAGAAAGUUGAGGGAGUUUUAUGUUACAUUUUUAAAU